rnacentral:rRNA from 1 species
AUUGAACGCUGGCGGCAUGCCUUACACAUGCAAGUCGAACGGCAGCGGGGGAGAAGCUUGCUUUUCCUGCCGGCGAGUGGCGAACGGGUGAGUAAUACAUCGGAACGUGCCCUGUAGUGGGGGAUAACUAGUCGAAAGAUUAGCUAAUACCGCAUACGACCUGAGGGUGAAAGUGGGGGACCGCAAGGCCUCAUGCUAUAGGAGCGGCCGAUGUCUGAUUAGCUAGUUGGUGGGGUAAAGGCCUACCAAGGCGACGAUCAGUAGCUGGUCUGGGAGGACGAUCAGCCACACUGGGACUGAGACACGGCCCAGACUCGUACGGGAGGCAGCAGUGGGGAAUUUUGGACAAUGGGCGCAAGCCUGAUCCAGCAAUGCCGCGUGCAGGAAGAAGGCCUUCGGGUUGUAAACUGCUUUUGUACGGAGCGAAAAGGCUCUCUCUAAUACAGGGGGCUCAUGACGGUACCGUAAGAAUAAGCACCGGCUAACUACGUGCCAGCCGCCGCAGUAA